GUGAAUCAUCGAAUCUUUGAACGCAAAUUGCGCUUCCUGCCGUCCCGGGAAGUAUGCCUGUUUGAGGCUCAGUAUUAAUAAAAACUCGGUUUAGUUACAAAUUCUGACGUUUCCGGAGUGUAGACUAUCUUAACAUUUUGAGUUAAGAGGCUUAAAAUUGACCUUUUUUGCUCAUUUUUAAUCGUAAAUUAAUUUUUUUUAUUCGUUUAUUCUUAAUGCCAAAAUCUAAUUAGAUGCAAUCUCAUCGUG
rnacentral:misc_RNA from 1 species